AUUGAACGCUGGCGGAAUGCUUUACACAUGCAAGUCGAACGGCAGCACGGGAGCUUGCUCCUGGUGGCGAGUGGCGAACGGGUGAGUAAUAUAUCGGAACGUAUCCAAUAAUGGGGGAUAACUAGUCGAAAGAUUAGCUAAUACCGCACACGCCCUGAGGGGGAAAGCUGGGGAUCUUCGGACCUAGCGUCAAUGGAGCGGCCGAUAUCUGAUUAGCUAGUAGGUGAGGUAAAAGCUCACCUAGGCGACGAUCAGUAGCUGGUAUGAGAGGACGACCAGCCACACUGGAACUGAGACACGGUCCAGAGUCCUACGGGAGGCAGCAGUGGGGAAUUUUGGACAAUGGGCGCAAGCCUGAUCCAGCCAUUCCGCGUGAGUGAAGAAGGCCUUCGGGUUGUAAAGCUCUUUCAGACGGAAAGAAAUCUUCUGGGUGAAUAUCCCGGGAGGAUGACGGUACCGUAAGAAGAAGCACCGGCUAACUACGUGCCAGCCGCCGCCGUAA
rnacentral:rRNA from 1 species